rnacentral:rRNA from 1 species
UACGUAGGAUCCGAGCAUUAUCCGGGAGUGACUGGGUGUAAAGAGUUGCGUAGGUGGCAUAAUAAGUAGCUAGUGAAAUCUGGUGGCUCAACCAUUCAGACUAUUAGCUAAACUGCUAAGCUCGAGACCGUUGAGGGGUAACUGGAAUUUCUAGUGUAGGAGUGAAAUCCGUAGAUAUUAGAAGGAACACCAAUAGCGUAGGCAGGUUACUGGGACGGUUCGUGACACUAAGGCACGAAAGCGUAGGGAGCAAACGGGG